GCCUCUUACACCACUAGAGAUGUACAUGUUUUCUUGUUUUAUGAUAAUAUUAGUAUUUACAGUGUAUUUCGUUUAAAUGUCUCCUUAUGUUUUCCCCAGAGAUUCCAGCGCAAGACGAAUCACAAGCAGGACUGAUAACGGUCUUGGUAGUAGGUCCUGUAGUAAUAGUCAUAGGAUUAGGGGCUUCUGUCCACUUUAUAAGGAGACGAUGGUUCAGUGGUGGAACAAACUGAAUGUCAAUCAUAAACAGGAUAAAGGAGGAAACAGAUGUAAUAUUUAAAUUUGUGAUAAUUAAAGACAUGUGAAGAAGACAUCAAAAUGAGUCAAAAACUCUAGAACAACUUGUAAUAACAUUAACGUUUAAGGAAGCUAUUUUACGAGUUGUGUGAUAAAGACAUUACAGGUACAUUUUGGUUUUGGGGAGCCUAAUAUUUAGUAAUCGAUGGAAACCACGAAGACGUUAAACAAUGCAAAGUGAAAGGGCGUAAUACACGAAAAGGGAUGAAAUUGAAAAAUAAGUAUUUUCAAGAAAGGGGGAAUUUUAAUGCCUUUUGGUAAGGUGCAAUAACGUCCGUUUUUGCGUUAAAGGUCCUCUUUACUCUGCCCUAUUGUCUUUUGCAGGGCUGCAUAACUCAUCAUUCCAUUUGAAGCAAUAUAAAUCCCUUUUCUCCAUGUGUUAAAGCAUUUCAUUUUUUCGCGUUAUUUCCCCAUUUUCCCUUUGCUUUAUUACUUUUUUGUCGGAUUUUUACCCUAUUCACUUUGCACUAUGACACGCUUUUGAAAUUUUCCGGCAGUUUGGUUUUUUAAAUAAUCUUUCGUAAAAUGUUUAAAAAAUAGUUCUAAUUUGAAAUGAAACGAGAGAAUAAGUUGAAUGGCAUAUAUAUCUGUUUCAUGUGUAUUUGAAUGGCAUAUAUCUUUUUCAUUUUUAUUUGAAAGGCAGUUAUCUUUGUUGUAUUUAUUUGGAUUUUGUCCAGAUAAAUCCAUCGUUAUUAACAAGAAUUGUAAUUUUUUAAAGGCUGUAUGACGGUAUAAAUGUAUAUUUUUAUAUUUAGCAUGUGCCUUAUGGGUUUUUACAGGACUAGCCUCACAAUUUUGCUUCAUAAGCAUUAAAACAUGUUUUCAGAUAGAUAAACUUUUUAUAUUUUAAUGCAAAUACCCUCUAUGUAUUGAUACAAAAUAAGUUUCUACAGUUAUUAGAUUAAUCAUAAAGUUCACCUCAAAGGUUGCAAUAAAAUCUUUUAUCAGAU